rnacentral:rRNA from 1 species
AGAGUUUGAUCCUGGCUCAGAACUAAUGCUGGUGGUAUGCUUAACACAUGCAAGUCGAACGGACUUUGGAGAGCUUGCUUUUCAAAGUUAGUGGCGAACGGGUGAGUAAUGUAUAAGAAUCUACCUAGCAGUAAGGAAUAACUUCGGGAAACUGAAGCUAAUACCAUAUAUUACCGUUUAUUCGGGAAAGAUUUAUCGCUGUUAGAUGAGCUUAUAUCAGAUUAGCUUGUUGGUAGGGUAAUGGCCUACCAAGGCGAUGAUCUGUAGCUGGUCUGAGAGGAUGACCAGCCACACUGGGACUGAGACACGGCCCAGACUCCUACGGGAGGCAGCAGUGGGGAAUAUUGGACAAUGGGCGAAAGCCUGAUCCAGCAAUACCACGUGAAUGAUGAAGGCCUUAGGGUUGUAAAGUUCUUUUAGUAGGGAAGAUAAUGACUGUACCUACAGAAAAAGCACCGGCUAACUUCGUGCCAGCAGCCGCGGUAAUACGAAGGGUGCUAGCAUUGUUCGGAAUCAUUGGGCGUAAAGCGUAUGUAGGCGGCUUAGCAAGUUGGUUGUGAAAUCCCGGGGCUCAACCUCGGAAUUGCAAUCAAAACUGCUUCGCUAGAGUAUAGUAGGGGAUAGUGGAAUUCCUAGUGUAGGGGUGAAAUCCGUAGAUAUUAGGAGGAACAUCAGCGGCGAAGGCGGCUAUCUAGACUAUUACUGACGCUGAGAUACGAAAGCGUGGGGAGCAAACAGGAUUAGAUACCCUGGUAGUCCACGCAGUAAACGAUGAGUGCUAGUUGUCGGGAUCUUAGGAUUUCGGUGGCGAAGCUAACGCGUUAAGCACUCCGCCUGGGGAGUACGGCCGCAAGGCUAAAACUCAAAGGAAUUGACGGGGACCCGCACAAGCAGUGGAGCAUGUGGUUUAAUUCGAUGAUACGCGAGAAACCUUACCAGCUCUUGAAUCCUGGUCGCGAUCUUCAGAGAUGAAGAUCUUCAGUUCGGCUGGACCAGUGACAGGUGUUGCAUGGCUGUCGUCAGCUCGUGUCGUGAGAUGUUAGGUUAAGUCCUUUAACGAGCGCAACCCCUAUCCUUAUUUGCCAUCAGGUCAUGCUGGGAACUAUAAGGAAACUGCCAACGACAAGUUGGAGGAAGGUGGGGAUGAUGUCAAGUCAUCAUGGCCCUUAUGGGCUGGGCUACACACAUGCUACAAUGGUGGUUACAGCAGGACGCAAUGGAGCAAUCCGGAGCCAAUCCUUAAAGACCAUCUCAGUUCGGAUUGGGGGCUGCAACUCGCCCCCAUGAAGUUGGAAUUGCUAGUAAUCGCAAAUCAGAACGUUGCGGUGAAUACGUUCUCGGGUCUUGUACACACUGCCCGUCAAGCCAUGGAAGUCGUUUUUACCUGAAUAUGGUGGAUUAACCUUCGGGAGAUAGCUAUACACGGUAGAAAUGGUAACUAGGGUUAAGUCGUAACAAGGUAGCUGUAGGGGAACCUGCGGCUG